GUCCAUGUUGGGGUCCCUGACGGGUUCUGGGGUCCCCAGGGCUGGAGGAGCUGGGGCUGGACGGAGGCUCCUCCCCUGGGCGGGGCCCGGGCGGCGACAGCAGCUCCGUGUCCUCAUUGGGCCGCGACGGCUCCGCCCCCGGCAGCACCAAGUCGGGCUCGGGCAGCCCCGGGGGCGGCAGCGGGGGCGGGGCCCCGGCCGGGGGGGGCCUGUCCCCCGCAGAGGUGGCCGAGCUGUUCCAGAGGCUGGCCCAGAGCCAGCAGGAGCGCUGGCUGCUGGAGGAGAAGGUGAGGCACCUGGAGGUGUCGAGCGCGUCCAUGGCCGAGGAUCUGUGCAGGAAGAGCGCCAUCAUCCAGAGCUUCGUCAGGGACAGCCGCACCGGUGGGCACCUGGGGCACCUGGG